rnacentral:rRNA from 1 species
AUUGAACGCUGGCGGCAGGCCUAACACAUGCAAGUCGAGCGAGCGGCGGACGGGUGAGUAAUGUCUGGGAAACUGCCUGAUGGAGGGGGAUAACUACUGGAAACGGUAGCUAAUACCGCAUACCAUCAGAUGUGCCCAGAUGGGAUUAGCUAGUAGGUGGGGUAACGGCUCACCUAGGCGACGAUCCCUAGCUGGUCUGAGAGGAUGACCAGCCACACUGGAACUGAGACACGGCCCAGACCCCUACGGGAGGGAGCGGUGGGGAAUAUUGCACAAUGGGAGCAAGCCGGAUGUAGACAUGCCGAGUGGGUGAAGAAGGCCUUCGGGUUGUAAAGCAAUUUCAGCGGGGAGGCGUUACCCGAAGAAGAAGCACCGGCUAACUCCGUGCCAGCAGCCGCGGUAAUAC